AAGCAGGCUGGUGUUGGUACUGGAAGACUGUGUGAAAAAUGUGAUGGCAAAUGUGUGAUCUGUGAUUCCUAUGUGCGUCCCUGCAUCCUGGUUCACAUAUGUGAUGAGUGUAACCACAGACCUUACCUGGGCCGGUGUGUGAUCUAUGGAGGUCCUGGAGUCUCUGAUGCCUACUAUUGUAAAAAGUGCACCAUUCAGAAGAAGGAUAGAGCUUCUGCCCUUCCAAAAGAUUGCCCAAAGAUUGUCAAUUAGGGGACCUAUUUUAUGAACGCAGAAAAUAUGGCUUUAAGAAGAGGUGAUG
rnacentral:lncRNA from 1 species